rnacentral:lncRNA from 1 species
CAUGAUCUUAGGCCUCUCUUCGAACUCUGUAGCUCGCCCUUUGUUCAACAACACACUCUUUCUUCUGAAUCACCAGCUUUUUGAUGCCUUCCUUUUUUAGCUCGACGAUGUCGUUCCUCCUUCAGUUUUGCAAUUACUGCUCAAACCCGCUGUUUAGCAUUAUGAACUUGUUUCUCGAAGUUUAGAUAAGGAGAAAUUAACUUGAAUAGCAACUUGAUUGUCUUAACCCUCUUCUUGAUCAACUUGGCCAAGGGAAUCUUUCACUAAUAGUCCAUGAUCUCGGACAUCUCUCCAAGCGAANAACGUUGCCCCAAGUGUCCCUUGUAUGAAGCAUUUCCGUAAAAGUCUUUUCCUCAGAAGAUCUAUAAUGUGGCAAGAAAUGCAGGUGUUGGCGACCCUCUCAUAGGAUACCCACAUUUUCUUCUUUUUUUUUUUUCUUCUUCAUUUUUUCUCUUUUUUUUUUCUUUUGCUUUUUUUUUUUGUUGUUCCUUUUUCUAUUCUUUUUUUUGUUUUUUUUUUUUUUUUGUUUUUUUUUUUUAUGUUAACACAUACACAACAAUGGAUACCUAUGAGGGGGACAUUAGGGUAAUUCCUGCAACGACGUGCGAUACAUGAUAUUUGCUACCAAUAGACAUGCCAUUUAAACUUUUUCUCUUCUGAGCCUGCAUAGAGCUACGUUCAUUCAUUUGCCCCUUUCAUCUUUGGUUUACACUGUAGUAAUUCACCGAGGGGACAUGUAACAUUUAAGACUCCCUCACUCAUGCAAGAGAUGAAUCAUACAUACGACACCAAUAAACAACAUAAUCUUUUUCUUGUCUUUGGCUCGUAACACUGAUUAAGGGUCCAAUAAACUUCAGCUAGGACAACCAUGAUUUUAUACUCAGAGCAAACUUUGUAUUCCGUAAAUGCAUUCAUGGCGACAUAGUCAACAAAAUUCUUGGUGUUAGGAAAGAGAAUAACACCCCAGAGGAUAAGAGCCAGUACAUUCAUGAAUGUUUCCUACUUUUCCUCCUCAGUCAAUAAAUGCAAGAACCACCUUGAGGAAGGUCCCUUGUUAUACCUUUAAGUAUGAAUUCACUCUCCAACUUCAUAGGGGGAACUUUCAUUAUCCUUGCUAGCUGCAAAUCAGGUAUAUAUUGCCCAAGGUGGUAUGAAGUGUUUCCCUUGAGGAAUACAUCUAAGGUCUCCUCAAAUUCUUCUAUUGUUGGCAUCAACUAGAAAUGGGUCACAGUGUUGGACUAAAACAAUAAUUAUUGUUAUCUGGACCUCCACCUCUGACAAGAUCAACAAAUUCUCACCCAUUCCUGAAUGCAUUUUUCAAGGUCAUCUUUUUCAUAUCCCUCAAGAGAUUGAUAAUGCCCCCCUUGACCUUACUGCGUAUGCUUUUCUUCAAAAAGUUUGAACUUGACUGCCCCUUGACUCAAAAUUUCAUGUUAAUUUCCAUUUUUACCGUAAUCACAAUUUUAUAAUUUCUGACUAGAACUCACAAAAUUUUGACAAGACCAUAACAACAUGAACAACACAGAAAGAAUGAAAUGAUAUGUACAAGAUGCUUGAUUUUAUUAAACAAAAGUGAGGGUUAUAAGGAUAUACACAUCUCCCCUUUGUGCCCUAGAGAAGGUUCAACAUUUCAGAUUGGGGUCCAGUAUAUGCAAUCUCACAAGGAUGGCUCCCUGAACCUAAGGAUCAAUGGUCACUAGAGCUAUGGCCCCCUUCAUAGCAUCUCCACAACAGUCGAGUAAUCAACUAGAUGUGGAGACACACAUGAAGAGAACAGACUCUAGCUGGAGUUCUCACGAUAGCCAAACAGGAAGUACAUCCCAGAGUGACACCGCUACACAACUCCUCUAAUUCUAAACUGCGCUCAGACCCGGGUAUAGGGCCUCACUCAAUAGAUGCAUAAUAUGUGUGUGUGUGAAGGGAGAAUGCGAUGCACCCAAACCCUCACCUGCAAAACAACCAGAAAACUUUCCCAGGCAGAUACAAGCAUGUUUUCUACCCUAGGGUUCAAUAUACAAUCAAAUCACAUGCAAUUAUUCCAAAUAGCAAGCAUAGAUAAAGAAAAGGGGAAGAAAAACACAAAGCAAAACCACAUCGAAAUUCGCACAUCUAAUAAAAUGGCCUGACUCUCGAAUGUCCCCA